rnacentral:rRNA from 1 species
UACGGGGGGGGUAAGCGUUGUUCGGAAUUACUGGGCGUAAAGGGCGCGUAGGCGGUUUGCUAAGUUGAAUGUGAAAACUCUGGGCUUAACCCAGAGCCUGCAUUCAAUACUGGCAGGCUAGAGUUCUGGAGGGGAUAGCGGAAUUCCUGGUGUAGCGGUGAAAUGCGUAGAUAUCAGGAGGAACACCGGUGGCGAAGGCGGCUAUCUGGACAGAGUCUGACGCUGAGGCGCGAAAGCUAGGGGAGCAAACAGG